rnacentral:misc_RNA from 1 species
GAUGAAGAACGUAGCAAAAUGCGAUAAGUAAUGUGAAUUGCAGAAUUCAGUGAAUCAUCGAAUCUUUGAACGCACCUUGCGCUCCUUGGUAUUCCGAGGAGCAUGCCUGUUUGAGUGUCAUGAAACCCUCAAACCCAAGUUUUGGAUUUCGAUCCAUGCUUGAGUUUGGAUUUGGAUGUUUGCCGGUGAUGAACCGACUCAUCUUAAAAGUAUUAGCUUGGAUCUGUCUAUAUGACUGGUUUGACUUGGCAUAAUAAGUAUUUUGCUGAGGACAUCUUCGGAUGGCCAGGACCUAGACUACUGUCUGCUAACUAAACCAUCACUUUAAGUGCAUCUUUGGAUGUUACUCAUUGUGUAACUUUGACAUCUGGCCUCAAAUCAAGUAGGACUACCCGCUGAACUUAAGCAUAUCAAUAAGCGGAGGA